rnacentral:lncRNA from 1 species
AUUUAUUUGGAUGGUUGCCAUGGAAAACUCGAAUGUUCGGAUGUUUUUCUUUCUCUAUCCUAUUCAACAGUUUGUCUCGGUUAUAUCUCAUUGCAACUAUGGAGUUAACUUUUUUAUUUAUAUUUUAUCAGGUCGGUCUUUCCGGUUUGAACUAAGACGUGUAUUUUGGAUAGAAAGACGUUCAACCAUAUCGACCACAAAAACAAGGGAGGAAAUUAUGCGUCUUCAGUGAGAUUGUAAAUGAGAGAGGAAAUUAUGCGUCUACAGUGAGAUUGUAAACAAAGGGGUAAAUUAUGCGUCUACAUUGAGAUUAAGAACGAGGGGGGAAAUUAUGCGUUUACAGUGAGAUUGUGUUAAACCAGAGAGGAAAUUAUGCGUUUACAGUAAGAUUGUGUUAAUUUAUUAAAAUAUGCAAACAUGUAUGUUUGAUAUGAACUCAUUAAAAAUGGAAAUAACCCGCGUAUUAAGCGCUUUUUCUGGAUUUACCUUCAACUUAAACGUCCAAAGCCGAAUAUUUGAAAGAUUAAUUACUACAUAUGUAUAAGAACCGAAAUAUGGUUGAGCUAUAUGCCCAAGAAGGACCUAAAUUACUAGCCAAAUCUAUCUAACUGGAUGUCAAAUUUGCUUGAAAGAUGUGAAACCUUGAUUUCUUAAAACUAACGGACAUUUUGUGAGCUUAAAUAAAUUGACGGGACAUAAAUACGGG